rnacentral:rRNA from 1 species
CCUACGGGAGACAGCAGUAGGGAAUAUUGCUCAAUGGGGGAAACCCUGAAGCAGCAACGCCGCGUGGAGGAUGAAGGUCUUCGGAUUGUAAACCCCUUUUGUUAGUGAAGAUAAUGACGGUAUCUACCGAAUAAGCACCGGCUAACUCCGUGCCAGCAGCCGCGGUAAUACGGAGGGUGCAAGCGUUACUCGGAAUCACUGGGCGUAAAGGGCGCGUAGGCGGGAUAGCAAGUCAGAUGUGAAAUCCUAUGGCUUAACCAUAGAACUGCAUUUGAAACUGUUAUUCUAGAGUAUGGGAGAGGUAGGUGGAAUUCUUGGUGGAGGAGUAAAAUCCG